UCGGGAAUUUUGGGCAAUGGGCGAAAGCCUGACCCAGCAACGCCGCGUGAAGGAUGAAGUAUUUCGGUAUGUAAACUUCGUAAGAAUAGGAAGAAUAAAUGACGGUACUAUUUGUAAGGUCCGGCUAACUACGUGCCAGCAGCCGCGGUAAUACGUAGGGACCAAGCGUUGUUCGGAUUUACUGGGCGUAAAGGGCGCGUAGGCGGCAAUUCAAGUCAUCUGUGAAAUCUCCGGGCUUAACUCGGAACGGUCAGAUGGUACUGCUUUGCUAGAGUGCAGAAGGGGCAAUCGGAAUUCUUGGUGUAGCGGUGAAAUGCGUAGAUAUCAAGAGGAACACCUGAGGCGAAGGCGGGUUGCUGGGCUGAUACUGACGCUGAGGCGCGAAAGCUAGGGUAGCAAACGGGAUUAGAUACCCAUGUAGUCCCUGAGCGGGCUGGCAAGGCGCAU
rnacentral:rRNA from 1 species